UACGUAGGGGGCAAGCGUUGUCCGGAUUUAUUGGGCGUAAAGAGCGUGUAGGCGGCCAAACAGGUCCACUGUGAAAACUCGAGGCUCAACCUCGAGAGGUCGGUGGAAACCGUGUGGCUAGAGUCCGGAAGGGGCAACUGGAAUUCUCGGUGUAGCGGUGAAAUGCGUAGAUAUCGAGAGGAACACCUGCGGCGAAGGCGGGUUGCUGGGCCGACACUGACGCUGAUGCGCGAAAGCCAGGGGAGCGAACGGG
rnacentral:rRNA from 1 species